CCUACGGGAGGCUGCAGUGGGGAAUAUUGGACAAUGGGGGCAACCCUGAUCCAGCCAUGCCGCGUGUGUGAAGAAGGCCCUCGGGUUGUAAAGCACUUUCAGUGAGGAAGAACGCGUGGUGGUUAAUACCCAUCAGGAAAGACAUCACUCACAGAAGAAGCACCGGCUAACUCCGUGCCAGCAGCCGCGGUAAUACGGAGGGUGCGAGCGUGAAUCGGAAUUACUGGGCGUAAAGCGCGCGUAGGUGGCUUGAUAAGCCGGUUGUGAAAGCCCCGGGCUCAACCUGGGAACUGCAUCCGGAACUGUCAAGCUAGAGUGCAGGAGAGGAAGGUAGAAUUCCCGGUGUAGCGGUGAAAUGCGUAGAGAUCGGGAGGAAUACCAGUGGCGAAGGCGGCCUUCUGGACUGAAACUGACACUGAGGUGCGAAAGCGUGGGUAGCAAACAGGAUUAGAUACCCUUGUAGUC
rnacentral:rRNA from 1 species